UUUACCACCAUAGGAUCCACCUAAGGGUCAAAUCACUUCCUGGUUCCUAUUCACACAACGGCCUACUUCCCCUGUACUCUCUCCCACCUAGCCUUUCACAUUCCCAGGCUCUCUUCUGCCCUCUUUGGGAGGUGGCCAGAGUUGGUUGAGUUCACAUUUCUUUCUCCCUCCAAGGCCUCUCCCAGAUUGAAAGGCAGCUAGGCUCUCUCUGUGAGCCCAUCAGCCCAUAUUCUUAAAGAGUCCCUUCCUACACUUCUGCUAGGCCUAUGACCUAACUUGGCGUGACUUUUAUGUCAUCCAGCCCUCUACCAUCACUCCUGAGGAACAUGGAUAGGUUCAGGCGGCAAACAGUAUGCAGAGCAGACCCAUCUAGUAGAUGAUAGGGUCCCUGUGGGUGACACGGCAGCGGUGCCAGCUAUAGAACCUAAUUCGAAUCACCAGCCAGGUCAAAAUGACCACCGAAGGAGACACCUUUGUCUCCUCUGGGGAGUGGAAAUGGUUUCUUAUAUAUUUGGUUGUGAGCCUAGCCUUUAACGGCUGAGCCAUCUCUCCAGCCUGGAAAUGGUUUCUAAUAAAGUUAACUUUGACAAGCUCUGCUAAAUUACACAGAAGGCUAAUGGAAAUCAGACUGCUUCCUAAAUAGAUUACAAGAAACCGUGAUCCAAUACUCACGCUGUGAUGGUUUGUAUAUGCUUAGCCCAGGGAGUGUCACUACUAGGAGGUGUGGUCUUGUUGGAGUAGGUGUGACCUUGUUGCAGUGUGUCACUGUGGGCAUGGGCUUUAAUACCCUCAUCCUAGCUGCCUGGAAGUCAGUCUUCCACUAGCUGCCUUCAGAUGAAGAUGUAGAACUCUCAGCUCCUCCCUGCACCACGCCUACCUGGAUGCGGCCAUGUUCCCGCCUUGAUGAUAAUGGACUGAAUCUCUGAACCUGUAAGCCAACCCCAGUUAAAUGUUGUCCUGUAUAAGAGUUGCCUUGGUCACGGUGUCUGUUCAUAGCAGUCAAACCCUAACUAAGACACUCAGCUUGACCCCCUUGACCCAGCCUCCCCAGCUAGAGCCACAGUCCUGACUUCUCAUUUUAUUACCAAUCAUCUUCAGAUAUUUGGAGGAAAAAAAACCCUAAAAAAGGCUGAGGAUGGUCCCCAGACCCCAGUACAGGGAUUGGUAAAGAAGGCUCUUAAAGUCUUUAAGGGCAGAGAGGAGGCAGCCGAGUCUUCCGGACAGGCUCGCCUACAGCAAAAGGCUGUACUCCGAGUCCAUACCUUGGCAGCUGCCCUGAGGCCAACAGCAACCCAGCCGAAGGAACAGGAGAGACCCACCAAACUCCACCCCACCAGGGUCCAGCCAAGGUCAACUCUGCCAACAGGGGCCUGUUUCAAAUACGGCAAGCAAGGAAGGACACUGGUCCAGCAACUGCCCUAACUGUCACCACCCCACCCGGCCAUGCCUGUUCUGCUGGCGACCUGGCCUGGAAGUCAGAGUGCUCCAGUGUGGGUGUGUCCUCUGUGCCACACCAUGGGGGCCCAGCUCCAUCAGCACAGGGACCUCAAACUCUUUCUGUCUUCAGGCUCCUUGGUUUGGUGAAGGACUGACAGCACUCAGAUGUAGGGACUCCCUCACCCUGCAGAGUUCAGGGAUAUACAGGUGAAGGCAGGUGCAAGAUAGAACGAAGUCUGUCAUUGCAUGAGAAGGAAGGAUGGGCAGGAGAAAAGUUUUAGGAAGAGAAAGAGACUGGAACGGGAAGGCAGAGGAAGCCACGGAGAGAACAUGGAGGCGGAUGUUACGAUUCCACGCUGCACCUUUACAGGUUGUUAUGAAUGUUCUUAAGGGAUGGAUGUGUACAGGGCUUUGUAUGUUUAGGUGGGCAAUUAUAUCUUAUCAGUUGGA